rnacentral:lncRNA from 1 species
CGAGGGGGACUCGCGCGCUGCGGCGCCCCCUGGCGACAGGAGGGGCUCGGUGCAGGCUAAUCCACGCGCGGAGUCCAGGGUCCCUCUACAGCGGUUUCCCUGGGAACCACUCUGGCUGGAAAUCCUGUGGCUGCCUUUGGAGGAUGUGAACUCUCCUGGGAUGGUAAGAGGCUUUGGACUGUGUAUUGAGGACAAGCAGAACCGACCUGAAAUUCCGCGUCUGUGGAUACCUGAAGCUGGAGUAGGAGGACCAGAAGUGCUCUGCGCUCUGCUAUUAACCCCAUGAAAAGAGUUCUUUCCAGAUAAGCGGAUACUUGCGGCUGCGUGGAGUGGAUCCCAGUCCCAGUUUGCUACCAGCAAUCCCAACCCAAGACACAGUCGCUGUCUCCAGGUGUGCUCUAGCUUCUGUUCCCACCCACCUCUGUGUGAGGCAAGUCGAACCGCGUCAGCAGACAAGAACUGGGAAGGAUGAGCAUUGUCUGGGAAAGCACACUGUCGUCACCUGCCUCCCCCAUCCCGGUCCCCACCACUCUCUGACUGAUGCCAUCGCCUAGAUGAUAAAGCGCCCGUCACUCAAGCACAGAAGUCGAAAUUCAUAGUUCAUUUCUUUACUUAUGUAAGAUCAUUCACUGACAAAAGAACUCAAAUGGAAAGGCUUUGGGCAUAUGCAGAAACGGGGAGAAAAAAAUAAUCUCUCCGAGUCAGAAGCCUCGGGGGAGCAUAGCAAGACUUAUCAAAGUUACAGUGCUCCAUUUGGAAAGCGCCAACCGCCAGCCCUCGGGCGAGGUGCAGUGGUGCAUAAUUAAUGUAGUCCCAGACACAGGUCACUGAAGUGCCCCACAGGUGUGUGCCUGGUUUUCAAUAAGGCCUUUCCCUCGGAACUCCUCUUCCGACUUUGAGUUUGUGCUCCCGGAAGCCUUGCACGAUCGGGAGAAUUCAGAAGAACGAUCUGAAUGCCCAUCAAUAGAAAAUGGCAAGAAAUUACGGCAGAUCUAGUCUCUGGAAUCCUAGGUAUUUGGGGAAAAGAAGCAAGCUGGGUCCCAAAACACUGAUAUAGAAAAGUGGCUGUAGUUUUUGUUGUUGGUGUUGUUUUGUUUUUGCUUUUCAUCAGGAAGGCAAAUAGAAAAAGGUUCACAAUAUUCCAUUUUUUGCAAGACUUCCAUUUUUCAAGUAAGUCUUUGUCCUGAAGGUCACACCAAUGCCCUCAUUAUAUAUGCCCUUCCUGCAAUAUGUGGCUUUUCUGGGUUUCCUGAGCAGGCUGCAGUUUGAGUUUGAACCCUGGGCCUACAGGUGCACAGAUGCUAUCAGCAUUGAUUUGUCCCUCUCGAGACUUUCCAGAUUUGGAGACGUGCCACGCAGUGGAGCGUGAUGACUGUCCAAGAGCUGUUAAGGAGCUACCUCGUGCCCCCGACCACAACCCCCUGCGCGCGCCCCCUGGCGGGGAAGAGGCUUGGCCCCCAUGGGAUAUCAGAAGCAGGAGAACCCUAAGAAAGCGCCCCUCCCUCUGUGCUUGAGGAGACUACUCCGAAGUGGGAUUUCUUCCCGCAAACUUUUCCAGAAGAAUCCGGCGUGAGAAGUAGACACACCUGCUGAAACCGGCCAGCACAGCUACGCAUCCCAUCACUUCAUUGUUUCUGGAUUAACUUCCGGUUGUUUUGUUUUAUUUAACUUUCUCCUUCACCAGCCUUGCUUGCUUUUCCCAAAUAAAGUGGACCCCGA